rnacentral:rRNA from 1 species
UACGUAGGGUGCGAGCGUUGUCCGGAAUUACUGGGCGUAAAGGGCGCGUAGGCGGCCUUCUAAGUCAGACGUGAAAUCCCCCGGCUUAACCUGGGAACUGCGUCUGAUACUGGGAGGCUUGAGUAUGGGAGAGGGAUGUAGAAUUCCAGGUGUAGCGGUGAAAUGCGUAGAUAUCUGGAGGAAUACCGGUGGCGAAGGCGGCAUCCUGGACCAUUACUGACGCUGAGGCGCGAAAGCUAGGGGAGCAAACGGG